rnacentral:rRNA from 1 species
UACGUAGGAGACAAACGUUAUCCGGAGUUACUGGGCGUAAAGGGCGUGUAGGUGGUUUUGUAAGUCUGGCGUGAAAUUUUUCGGCUUAACCGGGAAAGGUCGUCGGAUACUGCAAGGCUAGAGGACGGUAGAGGCGUGUGGAAUUCCGGGUGUAGUGGUGAAAUGCGUAGAGAUCCGGAGGAACACCAGUGGCGAAGGCGACACGCUGGGCCGUACCUGACACUGAUGCGCGACAGCAUGGGGAGCAAACAGG